rnacentral:snoRNA from 1 species
CCCAUCGGCGAAGAUGAGCUCAUCUCCUUCAUCAUCGUCGGCCUCGACAUGGAAUAUCAGCCCAUCAUAUCCGCUCUUGACGUGCGUGUUGAUCCUGUCUCCACCGAUGAACUCUUUGGCAUGAUCUCCAACUUUGAUC